rnacentral:rRNA from 1 species
GACGAACGCUGGCGGCGUGCUUAACACAUGCAAGUCGAACGGUGAAGCGCCUUCCUUUUUGGUGGGUGUGGAUGAGUGGCGAACGGGUGAGUAACACGUGAGUAACCUGCCCCCUUCUUCUGGAUAACCGCAUGAAAGUGUGGCUAAUACGGGAUAUUCUGGGUCUGUCGCAUGAUGGGUCUGGGAAAGAUAUUGUUUCGGUGGGGGAUGGGCUCGCGGCCUAUCAGCUUGUUGGUGGGGUGAUGGCCUACCAAGGCGGUGACGGGUAGCCGGCCUGAGAGGGUGGACGGUCACACUGGGGCUGAGCCACGGCCCAGCCUCCUACGGGAGGCAGCGGUGGGGAUUAUUGCACAAUGGGCGCAAGCCUGAUGCAGCGACGCCGCGUGAGGGAUGGAGGCCUUCGGGUUGUGAACCUCUUUCGCCAGUGAAGCAGGCCUGCCUCGUUUGUGGGUGGGUUGACGGUAGCUGGAUAAGAAGCGCCGGCUAACUACGUG